rnacentral:rRNA from 1 species
AUGGGCCAAGAAGAGCGUCGACGUGUGGUACAAGGCCCACCAGGACAAGGUGUGGUAUGCCUAUGCCCGCCGCUGCAAGUUCGUUGCCAUCUUCGACGUAUCCCGCGCCGGAGUUCCUCGCCAACACCGCGCCGCUCCUCCUCCGCAACCCAGGCUUCAUGCUCAUGCAGGCGUACUUGGAGUUCAGUACGUUCAGCUCCUGUCCAAUUGCAUAUGCAUCCCUGGGAAGGGUGGUUGCCAAUUGUAGAAGCUGCUGCUAUAACUGUAUAUAGUGAAUGCAGACGAGUGCCUGCUGAUGAGGACACAAGAGAUGUCCAUGGACUACCAUUUCAAGGUGGAGAAGCAAGCAUGGUCCUCACUCUGCUACUUUGA